GAUGAACGCUAGCGGCAGGCUUAACACAUGCAAGUCGAGGGGCAGCAUAAAUAGUAGCAAUACUAUUGGUGGCGACCGGCGGACGGGUGCGUAACGCGUAUACAACCUUCCCUAAACAGGGGGAUAAUCUGGAGAAAUUCGGUCUAAUACCCCAUAACAUCAGAGAAGGCAUCUGUUUUGGGUUAAAUUUCCGGAGGUUUAGGAUGGAUAUGCGUAGCAUUAGCUAGUUGGUGAGGUAACGGCUCACCAAGGCGACGAUGCUUAGGGGGACUGAGAGGUUAACCCCCCACACUGGUACUGAGACACGGACCAGACUCCUACGGGAGGCAGCAGUGAGGAAUAUUGGUCAAUGGGCGGAAGCCUGAACCAGCCAUGCCGCGUGCAGGAUGACGGCUCUAUGAGUUGUAAACUGCUUUUGUACGAGGGUAAAGUGGGCUACGUGUAGCCUUUUGAAAGUAUCGUACGAAUAAGGAUCGGCUAACUCCGUGCCAGCAGCCGCCGUAA
rnacentral:rRNA from 1 species